rnacentral:misc_RNA from 1 species
UCGUAGGGCUUCGGCCCUGUCGAGAUAGAACCCUUGCCUUUUUGAGUACCUUUCGUUUCCUCGGCAGGCUCGCCUGCCAAUGGGGACCACAAAAAACACUUUGCAGUACCUGUAAUAGUCUGAACAAACAAACAAAAAUUA